rnacentral:rRNA from 1 species
CGAAGGUAGCAUAGUCAGUAGUCUUUUAAUUGGAGGCUUGAAUGAAUGGUUGGACGAGAGACAAGCUGUCUCCCUAGUGUAAGUUGAACUUAACUUUUGAGUGAAAAGGCUCAAAUUUUUUAGAGGGACGAUAAGACCCUAUAAAACUUGAUAUUGGUUUAGCAUGAUUUGCGAUUUUAGUGAAAAGUAGUUUUGUUUGAUCUAUAUUUCGUUGGGGAGAUGAAGAUAUAAAUUGUAACUGUCUAUUUAAUUUAAUAAUUAUAGUUAGUGUUUGAUCCUUCUUUGUGGAUUAAGAGAGUAAGUUACUUUAGGGAUAACAGCGUGAUUUUUCUUGAGAGUUCUUAUCGACAGAAGUAGUUGCGACCUCGAUGUU